rnacentral:rRNA from 1 species
AUUGAACGCUGGCGGCAUGCCUUACACAUGCAAGUCGAACGGUAACAGGUCUUCGGAUGCUGACGAGUGGCGAACGGGUGAGUAAUACAUCGGAACGUGCCUAGUAGUGGGGGAUAACUACUCGAAAGAGUGGCUAAUACCGCAUGAGAUCUACGGAUGAAAGCAGGGGAUCGCAAGACCUUGUGCUAAUAGAGCGGCCGAUGGCAGAUUAGGUAGGUGGUGGGAUAAAAGCUUACCAAGCCGACGAGCUGUAGCUGGUUUGAGAGAACGCUCAGGCACACUGGGACGGAGACACGGCCCAGAAUCCGACGGGAGGCAGCAGUGGGGAAUUUUGGACAAUGGGCGCAAGCCUGAUCCAGCAAUGCCGCGUGCAGGAAGAAGGCCUUCGGGUUGUAAACUGCUUUUGUACGGAACGAAAAGCCUUGUGUUAAUACCCUGGGGUCAUGACGGUACCGUAAGAAUAAGCACCGGCUAACUACGUGCCAGCCGCCGCAGUAAAAC